rnacentral:rRNA from 1 species
UUCGGAUUGGAGUCUGNAACCCGACUCCAUGAAGCUGGAUUCGCUAGUAAUCGCGCAUCAGCCACGGCGCGGUGAAUACGUUCCCGGGCCUUGUACACACCGCCCGUCAAGCCAUGGAAGCCGGGAGUGCCUGAAGUGCGUGAGCGCAAGCAGCGCCCUAAGGUAAAACCGGUGACUGGGGCUAAGUCGUAACAAGGUAGC